UUCUUAGAAAGGGAUGAAUAUUAUCUUAGUUUAUACUUGAUUCUUGUGUUAGUUUCGUCUUGAUUGUGAUUCUUUAAAUAUCUUGCGCACUUAUAUCGAUUCUUUUAGAAUUUUGACUUGAGAUUUGAGAUUGAUACAGCCUAAGUUGAGAAUUUUAGAUUGAGUAAAUGACUGUUUGCCUUAAUUCUACAUUACUUAAGUCUACCCAGGCACCAUAGUCAGAAAUAACUACCUACAACCCUUAAGAGUGAAGCUAUCCUUGAGUAAUUUGGGCCUAUGUACCACCAGUAUGUAGAGGAUAAUCUACCAUGAGAAGAAGGCUACCUUAAGGGGUAGAGUGAAAGCUCCUGACUAUGGACAAAGAAAUGAAAAAAAAA
rnacentral:lncRNA from 1 species